rnacentral:ncRNA from 1 species
CGGGAAUGAUGUUCUCCCGAGGAUAAAUCAUUUUAAUCCUAAACCGCUUUUUUUAAGCUGAUGACUUCUGCAAA